CAGGCUUAAUAUCAGGAAAACGAGGAAUUAUCUGUGAAAGUGUUCGGCUGGAAUUCCAAGAGCUCAUUACAAUGUGUGGUGGACCUAUGAGAAACUAAGAGCUGAAUUCUUUCUGAAAUUUCUCAAGGUAGUGCCUGACUACAUCAACACGACUGAUGAGCCUUCCAACAACCAGAAAACUGGCUUUGGAAAAACAAAGUGGUUUUUGGCUUUUGUCAGGGCUGUCUCACAGACAGGAAUGUCUCUUUCCAUAGUAGAGCACAGACUAAUUGGGACUAAAAUGCUGCCAUAGUUUGUCUACUAUCCAAUCAAUUCUUGACAUGUAUACGCAGUAGAAUUACUGUCCAUACCACAUCCACACAAUAAUGCCAUACUUGCCUGAGAAGCACCCGGACAUCCAAGGAGGCAAUUGAAAUUGAAAAGUACGAAAGAUCUUAG